UGCCGGGGACUCUGGAAGACUGCCGGUGUUAAACCGGAGGAGGGSGGGGAUGACGUCAAGUCCUCAKGGCCUUUAUGUCURGGGCUGCACACGUGCUACAAUGGCGCGUACAAAGGGACGCCAACCCGUGRGGGGGAGCCAAUCCCAAAAAACGCGCCCCAKUUCAKAUCGAAGGCUGCAACUCGCCYUCGWGAAGUUGGAAUCGCUAGUAAUCGCGGGUCARCAACACCGCGRUGAAUGUGUUCCUGAGCCU
rnacentral:rRNA from 1 species